rnacentral:misc_RNA from 1 species
UCUCCGUUGGUGAACCAGCGGAGGGAUCAUUACAGGACUCGCAAGACUCCUUCACCCUGUGAACCUCACUACAAGCACGUUGCUUCGGCGGGUGUCCCGGCGGCGGUUUGCCCUCGCCGGGGCGCACAGCCCGCCGGCAGCCUACUAUACUCUGUCUCUUUGCGUUGGCAUCUCGAGAAAAAACAAACAAGUUAAAACUUUCAACAACGGAUCUCUUGGUUCUG